AUCCGCGUAACCGAACGGUUACUGUAUGGUGGCUUGGCUAGUUAGUUACGCUAGUCUAGGUUACGAGGGCGCCU
rfam:Coxiella burnetii RSA 493, complete genome.